rnacentral:rRNA from 1 species
UACGUAGGGUGCGAGCGUUAAUCGGAAUUACUGGGCGUAAAGCGUGCGCAGGCGGUUCGUUAAGUUCGUUGUGAAAGCCCCCGGGCUCAACCUGGGAACUGCAAUGGAAACUGGCGGGCUUGAGUCCGGAAGAGGAGAAUGGAAUUCCUGGUGUAGCGGUGAAAUGCGCAGAUAUCAGGAAGAACACCGAUAGCGAAGGCAGCUUACUAGGCUGUAACUGACGCUGAGGCACGAAAGUGUGGGGGAUCAAAACAGG